rnacentral:pre_miRNA from 1 species
AGUGGAAUUGCUGGAUCAUAUGGUUACACUAUAUUUAACUUUUUGAGGAACUGUCAGACUGUUUUCCAAAGUGGCUGUACCUUUUACAUUCCCACCAGCAGU